rnacentral:ncRNA from 1 species
GUUGGGUUAAGUCCCGCAACGAGCGCAACCCUCGUCCUAUGUUGCCAGCACGUCAUGGUGGGGACUCAUAGGAGACUGCCGGGGUCAACUCGGAGGAAGGUGGGGAUGACGUCAAAUCAUCAUGCCCCUUAUGUCUUGGGCUUCACGCAUGCUACAAUGGCCGGUACAAAGGGCUGCGAUACCGCGAGGUGGAGCGAAUCCCAAAAAGCCGGUCUCAGUUCGGAUUGGGGUCUGCAACUCGACCCCAUGAAGUCGGAGUCGCUAGUAAUCGCAGAUCAGCAACGCUGCGGUGAAUACGUUCCCGGGCCUUGUACACACCGCCCGUCAAGUCACGAAAGUCGGUAACACCCGAAGCCGGUGGCCCAACCCUUGUGGAGGGAGCCGUCGAAGGUGGGACCAGCGAUUGGGACUAAGUCGUAACAAGGUAGCCGUACCGGAAGGUGCGGCUGGAUCACCUCCUUU